rnacentral:rRNA from 1 species
UGGGGAAUCUUGCGCAAUGGGCGAAAGCCUGACGCAGCGACGCCGCGUGAGCGAUGAAGGCCUUCGGGUUGUAAAGCUCUGUGGAUGGGGACGCGGUACCAUUUUAGCAAGCACCGGCUAACUCUGUGCCAGCAGCCGCGGUAAGACAGAGGGUGCAAACGUUGUUCGGAAUCACUGGGCGUAAAGCGCGUGUAGGCGGCAGUGCAAGUCGGAUGUGAAAUCCCGCGGCUCAGCCGUGGAAGUGCACCCGAAACUGCCACGCUUGAGUGUCGGAGAGGAAGGUGGAAUGCUUGGUGUAGAGGUGAAAUUCGUAGAUAUCAAGCGGAACACCGGUGGCGAAGGCGGCCUUCUGGACGACGACUGACGCUGAGACGCGAAAGCGUGGGUAGCAAACAGGAUUAGAUACCCU